AUAAUGGGUCAGCGACUUAUAUUCUGUAGCAAGGUUAACCGAAUAGGGGAGCCGAAGGGAAACCGAGUCUUAACUGGGCGUUAAGUUGCAGGGUAUAGACCCGAAACCCGGUGAUCUAGCCAUGGGCAGGUUGAAGGUUGGGUAACACUAACUGGAGGACCGAACCGACUAAUGUUGAAAAAUUAGCGGAUGACUUGUGGCUGGGGGUGAAAGGCCAAUCAAACCGGGAGAUAGCUGGUUCUCCCCGAAAGCUAUUUAGGUAGCGCCUCGUGAAUUCAUCUCCGGGGGUAGAGCACUGUUUCGGCAAGGGGGUCAUCCCGACUUACCAACCCGAUGCAAACUGCGAAUACCGGAGAAUGUUAUCACGGGAGACACACGGCGGGUGCUAACGUCCGUCGUGAAGAGGGAAACAACCCAGACCGCCAGCUAAGGUCCCAAAGUCAUGGUUAAGUGGGAAACGAUGUGGGAAGGCCCAGACAGCCAGGAUGUUGGCUUAGAAGCAGCCAUCAUUUAAAGAAAGCGUAAUAGCUCACUGGUCGAGUCGGCCUGCGCGGAAGAUGUAACGGGGCUAAACCAUGCACCGAAGCUGCGGCAGCGACGCUUAUGCGUUGUUGGGUAGGGGAGCGUUCUGUAAGCCUGCGAAGGUGUGCUGUGAGGCAUGCUGGAGGUAUCAGAAGUGCGAAUGCUGACAUAAGUAACGAUAAAGCGGGUGAAAAGCCCGCUCGCCGGAAGACCAAGGGUUCCUGUCCAACGUUAAUCGGGGCAGGGUGAGUCGACCCCUAAGGCGAGGCCGAAAGGCGUAGUCGAUGGGAAACAGGUUAAUAUUCCUGUACUUGGUGUUACUGCGAAGGGGGGACGGAGAAGGCUAUGUUGGCCGGGCGACGGUUGUCCCGGUUUAAGCGUGUAGGCUGGUUUUCCAGGCAAAUCCGGAAAAUCAAGGCUGAGGCGUGAUGACGAGGCACUACGGUGCUGAAGCAACAAAUGCCCUGCUUCCAGGAAAAGCCUCUAAGCAUCAGGUAACAUCAAAUCGUACCCCAAACCGACACAGG
rnacentral:rRNA from 1 species